ensembl:lncRNA
AAAAUGAAGAUCCAGAUUCUCCUGCUGGCCUGUGCUUUUGUGGCUGCGAUCAAUGCCACACCAUCAGCAGAUGAUUCUGCUAAACCCAAAGCCAUCAAUGAUGAGGUUAAAGCUGAUGUGCCAAAGCCAAAUCUGGAUGCCUCCGGAGUGAAUGAGCCCAACAUGGAGGACGACUUAGAAGAUGAUGAGCCCGACAUGGACGAGGAUCCCGAAGAUGAUGAGCCCGACAUGGACAAGGAUUCCGAGGAUGAUGAGCCCGACAUGGAUGAGGAUUCCGAGGAUGAUGAGCCCGACAUGGACGAGGAUUCCGAAGAUGAUGAGCCCGACAUGGACGAGGAUUCUGAAGAUGAUGAGUCCGAGAAGAAAGAUGAGCCCAAGAAAGAUGAGGCUGAGCCUAAGCCUCUUAAGUAAACACCUGAAAUAGCUGAAUCCCUCACAACACCUUGCCUAUAAGUCACAAGUAUACAUAAUUUCUUCUCAUACCUUUCCAAUAAUUUAUGCAUGAAAAACUGCAUGCCGGACACAAAAUAUACUCUAAAAGACUUUUGGAUCUGAGUUGGAUCGUCAUCUGGUCAAAAUGCUUUCUCUGUAAUAUCUUUUUACACACAUUUUGUUCUUUGAAGUCAGUUUGCAGCCAUUACUUUCGACACUGAUACUUCUUAACCUUGCACCUAUAUGUCUUGUGUGAAUAUCUGCACGCCUUAAAUUGUACGUAAAUUCUUUGUACUAUAGGAGCAAAAAGAGAUAACACAGCAAAUUGAAAAAAAUUGUGCAUGUGAGUGAGUGAAUGAUAGUAGUCAAGUAGUCAGCUCUCUGACUAACAUCUAAUCUUCAGCAUCACGGGUGUCGACAUGAUAACCACAUCAUGAUAACGUAUUAAAACCAGCUGAGGCUAUGUCUUACAGUGAUGGGAUCAAAUAAAUGCUUUUUACGGGCUGAAAUGAAAUAUUUGCCUGAGUGUCAUUAUUAGUAUUUUCUUGUGUUUUUUACUUUUUUGUGUGUUUGUCUGUGUGAGUAUUAUUACAUCCAAAACCCCUAAAAUGUAGCAUUUUCUGUGGCUUCGCUAUAUUUUGAUUCCCACAACCCUGAAAUUUAUCCAAAAUGUAUUCUAAAAGGUGUCCAUUAAAUUAAACAUAUACAGUGCUGUGAAAAAGUAUUUGCCCCCUUACAGAUUUAUUUUGUUUUUGCUUUUUUGUCACACUUGCAUGUUUCAGAUCAUCAAAGAAAUGUCAUUAUCAGAUAUAGAUUACCUGAGAAAAUACAAAAUACAGUUUUUAAAUGACAAUUUCAUUUAUUAAGGGAAAUAAACUAUCCAAACCAACCUGGCCCUGUGUGAAAAAGUGAUUGCCCCCUAAAUCUAAUAACUGGUUGUGCCACCCUUUGGCAGCAACUACUGCAAUCAAGCAUUUACACGUGAUUCCUAGGAACUAAAACUGUUCCACCUCAGCUCCACUGAUGUAGACAGGGAAGUGUGUCUUUGAUUCCAUUUUGUAAAAAUCAACAAUCGGCUCUGUGGUUUUUGCCGCUGUUGAACGUUGCUCUCUGUGCACCAGUCUGCAUGAUUGUUGAUUUCCUCCCGAUAGGAACUCUCAUCCUUGUUUGUAAUGUUGCCAACGAUGGUGGUGUCAUCCGUGUACUUCACUAUAAAGUUCUCUUGAUGCCUGGGAGUGCAAUCGUGGGUGUACAGUGUAAACAGUAGGGAGGUGCACACACAGCCCGGGGGGCUCCAGGGCUGAGUGCUAGAGUAAAGGAGGUCUGGCUGCCAAUCCAUACUUUCUGGGUUCUACUUGUGAGGAAGUCUAAAUAUCCAUUUGCAAAGAAUAGCAGUCAAGCCCAGUGUCUGAAGUUUUCCAAUCAGCCUCAUGGGUGAGCUUGUAUUCAAUGCUGAGCUAAAGUCAACAAACAGCAUUCUGAUGUAGCUGCUUUUAUUUUAAAGUUGUGUGAAAACUGAGUGGAGGGCAGUGGAUAUGGCAUCCUCUGUGGAUCUGCUGGUUCUGAAAGCAUACAGGUGAGGGUUCAGGCUGGCAGGGAAGUUGUCUUUGAUAAGUUGGAGAACCAGUUUCUCACAGCACUUCAUCAGGGUGGGGGUGAGAGCCACAGGACAGUAGUCAUUAAGAGUAGACACUGCAGACUUCUUCGGUACAGGGAGUAUGGUGGCUGUCCUGAGGAAGGUCGGGACAGUCUCCUUUGAGAGUGACAUGUUAAAAAUGUCAGUAAUAACAUGAGCUUGCUGAUUGGCAGAUGUGAGUCUUCUCACAUCCGCUGUGGUUAGUAACAGCAUCCUGUCCUCCUGAGGCAAAGUAUACUUUAUGUCUUUGUUGAGAAAUAAGCAAGCAUAAAAUGUGUGUAGCUCAUGUGGCCUCAAACAUGAUUGAGCGCUCCUCCUUAUGUAGGCUGUGUCACGUAACUCUGUGCACCAGGUUAUGUUGCUUCUAUUACCCAGCCGAUGUCCAUCAAAUCUGAUUGGAACAAACGCCUACAGACUCCCUAUGAAGUAGGUUUUUUUUUCCAAACACUAUCUUUGAUUGUUGCUUCCCGACACAGGAUAGUUUAUUGUCAAAUACUAAAAACCUUGGGUUGGCUACUUGGAGUUAAUGUCAGUAUUUGAAGGCCUCGGGAUAAGACUUCACAAUCAACUGUCUUCGUCCAGGGAGUUACAUUGUGAUCCUUUAUCGUAGGGGACAUGGAGAUAAAUAAAAAAACAAAUAACUUAAGCCUGAUCUUGCAAUAAUUUAAAUAACAUGGGAAAUCGAUUCGCUUUGGUUUUGAAAUGAUAUACACAAAUAUACAAACAUUACAUUUAAUUGAUCAGCAUUUUUUAAUGUCCUGACCACUGGCUAUGUUGUUGUCGUGAACUGAAUCUGAUCAAAGUCAAGACAAAAUUUGCCAAAUUUUUGGUCUAUAUCACAAUACAUGAUAUAUAUCUGAAUAUGUUGACCUCACCUCAGAAGGACUUCAUAAAAGGUGCGACUGGGCGACAAAAUCAAAUAUCACAAUAUCACAUUGAUAUUGCAGCAUCUUUGUGCGAAUGACUGUUGGUACUUUUAUGAAAUACAAACACAAUGACAUUUGCAUUGGAUCAUUUUUUUCACAGACCAGCAUAACGUGGUGACUUUUCAUUGGAUGAGCUUUGUACUGAACAAACAUUCUUAGCUCAGAAGUACAUAUAUAUUGAAGGUGCAUCAGUUGGAAAGUCAAAACAUUCCUGACUUGAGUUGAAGUUCUGUGGACCUGAGAGCUACUGAAAACUGAAGGUAAAUACAGCACCUUUGUUUUACUCUUUAUUCAGACCCACAGACUGAACAGCAUCUGUUGCUAACUACUCACGGACCAUUUCACAGUAUUUUUGUACAUUUUGAUGUUUCCUUUCAGAAAAUGAAGAUCCAGAUUCUCCUGCUGGCCUGUGCUUUUGUGGCUGCGAUCAGUGCCGCACCAACAGCAGAUGAUUCUGCUAAACCCAAAG